AGGAUUGUUUUACUACCAUUACUUCCUUACAAGGACUAAGGACAAUUCAUGAGAUCAUGAAAUCUCAGAAUCAGUUCUCCAUCGUAUUGUCUCAUCUAUGAAUCCAUUCCUAAAACAUGACUGGACUACAUUCAAUUGCUUCUAUCAAUUUUAUCUAUCAAAGUACAAGUACAAGCUGGAUCUGCCAGAAUUUGCGAAUCUAAGGCUAAAUGAAGAUAAUAUUGCUUUUUAUUCCACAAUCCAAGACUCCCUUUGCUGUGCUGGUGUUUGGACCGCAAAGGAAUAGAGAAGUUGUUUCCAUGGCAGUUUGCAUUUUCCAUUUGAUGGCACAUCUGAUUUACGCUGAUUCUGCUUCAACGCAAUGCACGGCAUUUGUUGUAUUUAUGUUCUUAAUGGAAAAAAGUUCUGGUUAGAAAAAUGCUUCCAAAGCACUGCAAAUUUAAUGUUUA